AGAACGAACGCUGGCGGCAUGCCUAAUACAUGCAAGUCGAACGAACACUUCGGAGUUAGUGGCGCACGGGUGCGUAACGCGUGGGAAUCUGCCCCUUGGUUCGGAAUAACAGUUGGAAACGACUGCUAAUACCGGAUGAUGACGAAAGUCCAAAGAUUUAUCGCCAAGGGAUGAGCCCGCGUAGGAUUAGCUAGUUGGUGAGGUAAAGGCUCACCAAGGCAACGAUCCUUAGCUGGUCUGAGAGGAUGAUCAGCCACACUGGGACUGAGACACGGCCCAGACUCCUACGGGAGCAGCAGUAGGGAAUAGUUGGACAAUGGGGCGAACGAACGU
rnacentral:rRNA from 1 species